CCGGCACGGGUGAGUAACACGUAUCCAACCUGCCGUCUACUCUUGGCCAGCCUUCUGAAAGGAAGAUUAAUCCAGGAUGGCAUCAUGAGUUCACAUGUCCGCAUGAUUAAAGGUAUUUUCCGGUAGACGAUGGGGAUGCGUUCCAUUAGAUAGUAGGCGGGGUAACGGCCCACCUAGUCAACGAUGGAUAGGGGUUCUGAGAGGAAGGUCCCCCACAUUGGACUGAGACACGGUCCAA
rnacentral:rRNA from 1 species